rnacentral:rRNA from 1 species
AUAUCAAUAAGCGGAGGAAAAGAAACUAACAAGGAUUCCCCUAGUAACGGCGAGUGAAGCGGGAUGAGCUCAAAUUUAAAAUCUGGCUGGUUUACUAGUCCGAAUUGUAGUUUAUAGAAGCGUUUUCGGUGGCAGCCUGGGUAUAAAUCCUUUGGAAUAGGGUAUCAUAGAGGGUGAGAAUCCCGUCUUUGACUCAGUGCAUGCUACUAUGUGAUACGUUUUCAAAGAGUCGAGUUGUUUGGGAAUGCAGCUCAAAAUGGGUGGUAAAUUUCAUCUAAGGCUAAAUAUUGGCGAGAGACCGAUAGCGAACAAGUACCGUGAGGGAAAGAUGAAAAGAACUUUGAAAAGAGAGUUAAACAGUGCGUGAAAUUGUUGAAAGGGAAACGUUUGACACCAGCUAUGUAGGCGGAAAAUCAGUCAAGCGCAGUGAGGGGCUGGUGUUUGUCCGGACCGCAAGGCCGGCGGAUAUCUCAUCUUUGCUGUGGGUGAUGCACUUUUUCGUUCGCAGGUCAACAUCAGUUUCGCUUGCUGGACAAAACCCCGAGAGAAGGUAGCAGCUUUGGCUGUGUUAUAGCUCUGGGGCGAUACAGUGGGUGGGACUGAGGAUUCGCAGUGUGUGCUCUCGGGCAAGGCUGACUGGGUGCUCUGGGGUCGUUUGGCGUACAAUGCUUGCAUUUUGCGUCUUGUCUUCUUCAGACUCGCUUAGUUCGGCUCUUCCACGCUUAGGAUGUUGACUUAAUGGUUUUAAACGA